rfam:Paenibacillus sp. MSt1 Contig_3, whole genome shotgun sequence.
CACUGAUAAAGGCAAACCUGUUGAAAAGCGGGGACGCAAAGCUCCGGGUCUAAGGCAUAAGUUAUGCGAUGACGGCCGAGCCGCCAAA